GUCCUCGUGGCGGAACUGGAAUACGCGUAGCGUUCAGAACGCUAUCCCUAAAAGGGUUGUGGGUUCAAAUCCCACCGAGGACACCA
rnacentral:tRNA from 1 species